AAUGAACGCUGGCGGCGUGCCUAAUACAUGCAAGUCGAGCGAACGGACGAGAAGCUUGCUUUUCUGAUGUUAGCGGCGGACGGGUGAGUAACACGUGCAUAACCUACCUAUAAGACUGGGAUAACUUCGGGAAACCGGAGCUAAUACCGGAUAAUAUUUUGAACCGCAUGGUUCAAAAGUGAAAGACGGUCUUGCUGUCACUUAUAGAUGGAUCCGCGCUGCAUUAGCUAGUUGGUAAGGUAACGGCUUACCAAGGCAACGAUGCAUAGCCGACCUGAGAGGGUGAUCGGCCACACUGGAACUGAGACACGGUCCAGACUCCUACGGGAGGCAGCAGUAGGGAAUCUUCCGCAAUGGGCGAAAGCCUGACGGAGCAACGCCGCGUGAGUGAUGAAGGUCUUCGGAUCGUAAAACUCUGUUAUUAGGGAAGAACAUAUGUGUAAGUAACUGUGCACAUCUUGACGGUACCUAAUCAGAAAGCCACGGCUAACUACGUG
rnacentral:rRNA from 1 species